GGGGGAUAGCCCGUAGAAAUGCGGAUUAAUACCCCAUAGUACUAUUAGAUCGCAUGGUUUGAUAGUUAAAGUUUCGGCGGUAAAGGAUGGGCAUGCGUGACAUUAGCUAGUUGGUGAGGUAACGGCUCACCAAGGCUACNAUGUCUAGGGGUUCUGAGAGGAAGAUCCCCCACACUGGUACUGAGACACGGACCANACUCCUACGGGAGGCAGCAGUGAGGAAUAUUGGUCAAUGGGCGGGAGCCUGAACCAGCCAUCCCGCGUGCAGGAAGAAUGCCCUAUGGGUUGUAAACUGCUUUUUCGCAUGAAGAACACUCCGGACGUGUCUGGAGCUGACGGUAAUGCGUGAAUAAGCACCGGCUAACUCCGUGCCAGCAGCCGCGGUAAUACGGAGGGUGCAAGCGUUAUCCGGAUUUAUUGGGUUUAAAGGGUGCGUAGGCGGUGAUUUAAGUCAGUGGUGAAAUCCUGCAGCUCAACUGUAGAACAGCCAUUGAAACUGAAUUACUUGAGUAAUCUUGAGGUAGGCGGAAUGUGUAGUGUAGCGGUGAAAUGCUUANAUAUUACACAGAACACCGAUUGCGAANGCAGCUUACUAANGAUUUACUGACGCUGAUGCACGAAAGCGUGGGGAUCNAACAGGAUUAGAUACCCUGNUAGUCCNCNCCNUAAACNAUGAUAACUCGCUGUUGNCGAUACACAGUCNNNGGCUUANCGAANGCGU
rnacentral:rRNA from 1 species